rnacentral:lncRNA from 1 species
CGGGCCCUGCGGCCCGGGCAGGGCGCACGCUCCGCGCCCUGCGCCCGCGGUCCUGCCCCCUCGGAGGCGCCCGCGCCCGGGGAGGGCUGGGGGUUCCCGCGGCGCCCGCGGGCGGAGGGUGGGGGAAAGGAAGGAGGAUUUGCAACAAUACCUCGGGGAGGAGGCAGCCGGGGCAGCGGCGGCGGCGGCGGCGGCUGGAGGCGGAGGCAGAGGCGCAGGAGGAGGUGCCGGGCACUCCCCCUCCCAUUGUCCCCAGCCCCGGCCAGGCCCGGCCCCGCGCCCCGCACCGCGCCCCGCGCCCCGCGCCCCGGGCCGUGCAGGCAGCCCUUACCUUGCAGCGCCCGGCUCUCCCCCGCUCGCUAAAGCUACUUAUCCCGGGAAAGCUCGCGCGGGGCCCGGGAGCGAACCCACAGACAAAAAGUGAAACUUCGGCAGGGCUGGAGCGGCUGCUGGUUGGUGCCUUUCCCCCUCCUUCCUCCCCACCGUCCCCACCCCCUCCCCUCGGUCUCCCGUGCGGUGCCCUGAGAGCUGGAGGCUGACGUCAGGGGCCUGAAUUCCUGACUUUGCCUGCACGCAUUUGUCCAUGUAAGGAGACCCUGACCUCCAGCAGGACCUAAUUCCCACUCAUGAAUGUUAAGAGUGCUCUGAGUUACC